rnacentral:lncRNA from 1 species
CUUUUACUUCACUUGUAUUGAAUUACCAGGAAUACUCUUAUGACAAUCUGCAUUAUCAGGGCAAUUUUUCUCCUCUCUCUCUCUCUCUCUCUCUCUCUCUCUUUCUCUCUGUCUCUCACACACACACAUACUCUCUCUCUCUUUCGUUGCAGAAAGGCUGAGCUGGUUAGAAGGCAGACUGUUCUGCCGGGUGUGUGUAAAAGCCUGUGUGUGUGUGUGUCUGUGGGAAUGUGUGUAGUGUAUGAGAGGGAGGGCAGGAAUUCUAAGCGAGCUUAGAGUGUUUGGAGCACUCCUUGUCCCCGUGAGCUGGAAAUACCUUACAGCCUGGACGUUCAUCUGCCUGUGGAGGGACAGCCCACUGACAAAGCAUCCAAUGGUGGCAUGGCGAGUGUCUCAGACAGAGUGGGGUGUACUGCUGUUCGAGAUGGGCCCUCUGCUCUUAUCACUGGGCUUUUUCUAUGGAUCAUUCUCUUCGGGUUAGUGGGCGCUCAAGGGCAAGAUGCCCUGUUCCUGAUGUUCCCAGCCUGGCUCUCCACUGCCCACUGUGUUGUACUCCAGCUCUGCAACCCUGCACUGAGUAACAUUAACAGACUCAGUAUCUGUUUUCUGUAUUAGCCAUAGCUCUAUAGAUUGUGCCCAUCACAUUCUUAUAUUCAUAAAUUAGUACCUGUUACAUUACCCAUAGUUCAAAUUAAUUCUCUGUACUGUUUUUGUUCUGUUAUUUGUUUGUUGUUUGUUAUUUGUUUGUACUGAGCGGGUCAACCCGAGUAGGAUGGGUUCCUCGGACUGAGUCUUGGUUCCUCCUAAGGUUUCUUCCUCUUAAAGGGAGUUUUUCCUUGCCACUGUGUCACCAUAAAAUUGGCAUCUCUGUGGUGCUGCUCAUAAGAGGCGUGGACCUGUUUUACCUGUAAAGCGGCUUUGUGACAACCUUUGUUGUAAAAAGCGCUAUAUAAAUAAAAUUGAAUUGAAUUGAAUUGAAUAUAGAUAU